rnacentral:rRNA from 1 species
CCAGCUACUAGAUGGUUCGAUUAGUCUUUCGCCCCUAUACCCAGCUCUGACGAUCGAUUUGCACGUCAGAAUCGCUACGGGCUUCCAUCAGGGUUUCCCCUGACUUCACCCUGGCCAGGCAUAGUUCACCAUCUUUCGGGUACCAACAUGUGCGCUCAAGGUGCUGCUCUCCUCAAGAGGAUGAGCAGCCCCGGGGUUGCGGGAAGGCAUGGUUAGCACGACCAUCACCCCU